rnacentral:rRNA from 1 species
GUGGGGAAUAUUGGACAAUGGGGGGAACCCUGAUCCAGCCAUGCCGCGUGUGUGAAGAAGGCCUUUUGGUUGUAAAGCACUUUAAGCGAGGAGGAGGCUACCGAGAUUAAUACUCUUGGAUAGUGGACGUUACUCGCAGAAUAAGCACCGGCUAACUCUGUGCCAGCAGCCGCGGUAAUACAGAGGGUGCAAGCGUUAAUCGGAUUUACUGGGCGUAAAGCGCGCGUAGGUGGCCAAUUAAGUCAAAUGUGAAAUCCCUGAGCUUAACUUGGGAAUUGCAUUCGAUACUGGUUGGCUAGAGUAUGGGAGAGGAUGGUAGAAUUCCAGGUGUAGCGGUGAAAUGCGUAGAGAUCUGGAGGAAUACCGAUGGCGAAGGCAGCCAUCUGGCCUAAUACUGACACUGAGGUGCGAAAGCAUGGGGAGCAAACAGGAUUAGAAACCCCAGUAGUCC